GAGUAACGCGUAUGCAACCUACCUAUCGAGAGGGAACUAACCGGCGAAAGUCGGACUAAUACCGCAUAAAACAGGGGCACCGCGUGGUGAUAUUUGUUAAAGAAAUUCGCUGAUAGAUGGGCAUGCGUUCCAUUAGGUAGUUGGUGAGGUAACGGCUCACCAAGCCGACGAUGGAUAGGGGAACUGAGAGGUUGGUCCCCCACACUGGUACUGAGACACGGACCAGACUCCUACGGGAGGCAGCAGUGAGGAAUAUUGGUCAAUGGGCGAGAGCCUGAACCAGCCAAGUCGCGUAGAAGGAAGAAGGAUCUAUGGUUCGUAAACUUCUUUUGCAGGGGAAUAAAGUGCAGGACGUGUCCUGUUUUGUAUGUACCCCGAGAAUAAGGAUCGGCUAACUCCGUGCCAGCCGCUGC
rnacentral:rRNA from 1 species